GAUUCCACGAAUGAGUACUUCUUUCUUUUUUUUUAAAUUGCAGGUAUGGUUGGACAUUUAAAUUGUUCAUCGCAAUUUAUUUGGUGGCAGAGGUGUUUUCUGAAACCCUUGGACCAUGUUUUGCAUCCUUUUCAACAGUGGAGAGAGUUAAUUCCUGUCCCACAACAGAGAAGUCUUGGGCUGAACGUGAAAGAAAUAAGGAUUGUAAAAGCGUUAAACAAAACUGCACCAUUCCUGAAAAUUUCCAUUAUCAUUGUGUCGUCAAUGAGUGGAGAAACGCGACAUUAGAACUGUGUGCGCCUGUCAAAAACGUUAUUGAUCAAUGUGCAGAAUAUAACGCGGGGGCACAUCAAACUCAAUAUAAUCGUGAGAAUUGUACAAAUUUUUCAACACCUUGUCCUCAUUUGUAUAAAUCAAACGAGGUUUACAAAUAUCCAGAGUGUUUCAAACUCAAGUCACCCCCUCAUAAUUCCAGCAUUGACGAUCAUCAAAAUAGAGUGAAUGUGAUGAACAAAUCAUGGGUGGAUGAUUCAGAAAAACAUGUAUCCGGACUUACUCAAAUAUAUUCAUCAAGAUUGACGUUUUUAAUGGCUUUUGUCACGGCAUAUCACCAAAGCACCUUUUGAAGAGGCAUUGAAAGGUUGCUCCGAUACCUAUAUUAAAUUUGAUGUCAUUUAAAGGAGAACCCAACAUCAUACAAAGUGCCCUUUUUGAGAGACUGUAGGCAAAUCUGGAUAAUUUCCAAUGUCUGAUCAUGAAAAAAGUCCCAUAUUCAUAACUGUUUUUUUUUUCAUUUUUCAUUUAAAAUAACAGUUUAUAAAUAUGAUCUUGUUCAUCUUGGUAAUCUAAAAAUCAUGUCCCGAAAUACCUUUUUUGACCAAGCUUAACUUAUAAAACAUCAUUGCAAAAAUUUAUCAAAUUUGAAGUAGAAUGUAUUGGCAAUUAAUUUAUA